AGAAGGAUUCAAGAAUGAUCAAGAAGAUUACCAAUGAAAAAAAUAAUGAAAUAAUCGGCAUGCAGAAUCUAGACUUAAAAUAUCUGCCGGAAGCUCCCCACUACUGGUAAACUGUGAGUUUGUUACAGUUAAAAAGGGUGGGUUUAUCCAAUCUAUUGAUGUAAAUUGUUUUUGUGAAUAAUUAUAAUUAUUAUGGGCAGU